AAUUUUAACCUUUUUAAAGCAGCAGGCCAAAUCAUAUACACAAAUACAUUUUUCAUUAAAAAAAAAUUUGAUUGAGUGUAUUAGACUUCUUUCUUUUGAGAUUUUUUAUAAAUAAGUUUUUCUGAAUAACAACACUAAAGUACUGCAUAAUCCUCUAAAUUGAAAUCUGAAGUAACUGGAUGUUGGAGGAGAUCCCCCCAGAGCUGGCCAUGCUGCUAUGACUUAGACGGCACAGGCCUGUGGUUGGGACCAUGAAGCCGCAAAGCCUCCCUGAAACCAGGAGGCUCCCAGCUGGUGCUCACGCCCAGCUGCGUGCCUCGCACCGGCCUGCAGCCUCCCGCAGGGCCACCUCCUCCCCGUGUGGCUACCUUCCUGUUACUGUACAGUUCUGCUGGAGUGGUCCUGUCAGAUUUGCAUCUCUCAUUAGAUGUGUCAAUUGUUGUCAGGAAACAGACUGGUUAUAAAGAAAUAUAAAUUUAAGGCAAACCCUUUGUGGCUUUUUUCUUAUUUUAUUGAUCUAAACAGGGCAUUCUUUCAUUAUUGUUUGAGAAAACAAACAAACAAAAAAAGAACGGUACUCAUAAGAGGUUGACACACUAAUAAAAGAGCAAUUACUGUUUUCCCCUCACUCUUUCUAGAGAAGCACAGUUAUCUGCGACUUCC
rnacentral:lncRNA from 1 species